AUUGAACGCUGGCGGCAGGCUUAACACAUGCAAGUCGAGCGGAGAUGAGGUGCUUGCACCUUAUCUUAGCGGCGGACGGGUGAGUAAUGCUUAGGAAUCUGCCUAUUAGUGGGGGACCACAUUCCGAAAGGAAUGCUAAUACCGCAUACGUCCUACGGGAGAAAGCAGGGGAUCUUCGGACCUUGCGCUAAUAGAUGAGCCUAAGUCGGAUUAGCUAGUUGGUGGGGUAAAGGCCUACCAAGGCGACGAUCUGUAGCGGGUCUGAGAGGAUGAUCCGCCACACUGGGACUGAGACACGGCCCAGACUCCUACGGGAGGCAGCAGUGGGGAAUAUUGGACAAUGGGGGGAACCCUGAUCCAGCCAUGCCGCGUGUGUGAAGAAGGCCUUAUGGUUGUAAAGCACUUUAAGCGAGGAGGAGGCUACUGAGACUAAUACUCUUGGAUAGUGGACGUUACUCGCAGAAUAAGCACCGGCUAACUCUGAGCCAGCCGCCGCCGUAAAAC
rnacentral:rRNA from 1 species